UGCUUGUUUGGUGAAAUGGUAAACACGAAAGACUUAAAAUCUUUUAUCUUAUGGAUUUAUUGGUUCAAGUCCAAUAACAAGUAA
rnacentral:tRNA from 1 species